AAUGCAAUGGCGCGAUCUUGGCUCACCGCAACCUCCGCCUGCCGGGUUCUCCUGCCUCAGCCUCCUAAGUAGCUGGAACUACAGGUCCUCUCAGGGUGCGCCAUCAUUGUCCGAGGUCAGCCUCGUGGUGGGCCUCCUCCUGAGCGGCAGAUCAACCUCAGCAACAUCCGUGCUGGAAAUCUUGCUCGCCGGGCAGCUGCCACACAACCUGAUGCAAAGGAUACCCCUGAUGAGCCCUGGGCAUUUCCAGCUCGAGAGUUCCUUCGAAAGAAGCUGAUUGGGAAGGAAGUCUGUUUCACGAUAGAAAACAAGACUCCCCAGGGGCGAGAGUAUGGCAUGAUCUACCUUGGAAAAGAUACCAAUGGGGAAAACAUUGCAGAAUCACUGGUUGCGGAGGGCUUAGCCACCCGGAGAGAAGGCAUGAGAGCUAAUAAUCCUGAGCAGAACCGGCUUUCAGAAUGUGAAGAACAAGCAAAGGCAGCCAA
rnacentral:sRNA from 1 species